UACGGGGGGAGCAAGCGUUGUUCGGAUUUACUGGGCGUAAAGCGCGUGUAGGCUGACCGGAAAGUCGGGCGUGAAAUCCCUGGGCUCAACCCAGGAACUGCACUCGAAACUCCCGGUCUUGAGUGGUGGAGAGGGAAGUGGAAUUCCUGGUGUAGAGGUGAAAUUCGUAGAUAUCAGGAGGAACACCAGUGGCGAAGGCGGCUUCCUGGACACCAACUGACGCUGAGACGCGAAAGCCAGGGGAGCAAACGGG
rnacentral:rRNA from 1 species